rnacentral:rRNA from 1 species
UACGUAGGGUGCGAGCGUUAAUCGGAAUUACUGGGCGUAAAGCGUGCGCAGGCGGUUUUGUAGGCCAGAUGUGAAAUCCCCGGGCUUAACCUGGGAAUGGCAUUUGGGACUGCAAGGCUGGAGUGCGGCAGAGGAGACUGGAAUUCCUGGUGUAGCAGUGAAAUGCGUAGAUAUCAGGAGGAAUACCGAUGGCGAAGGCAGGUCUCUGGGCUGACACUGACGCUCAUGCACGAAAGCGUGGGGAGCAAACAGG